rnacentral:misc_RNA from 1 species
AAGUCGUAACAAGGUUUCCGUAGGUGAACCUGCGGAAGGAUCAUUACCAAAUAAAAACUAAAAAUUUAGAGUUUUAUCUCUCUAUAUUUUUUUUUUUCUAUUUUAUCCUAACCCAUCCAAAACCGUGAACCAAAACUUCUUUAACGUCUUGAACAUUUUUAUAAAAAAUUGUGUUCAAGACCCCAACCCACAUUUCAUUUUCAUGCUUUAUUUUUUAAAUAUAUAUAACUUUUACAAGUUGUUUUAUUGAUUUUUUACUCAAUAAUUUAAAUAAACACAACUUUCAGCAACGGAUCUCUAGGCUCUU